rnacentral:rRNA from 1 species
GCGUUGUUCGGAAUUACUGGGCGUAAAGGGCGCGUAGGCGGCCUGCUAAGUCGAACGUGAAAUCCCUGGGCUCAACCCAGGAACUGCGUCCGAUACUGGUUGGCUUGAAUCCGGGAGAGGGACGUGGAAUUCCAGGUGUAGCGGUGAAAUGCGUAGAUAUCUGGAGGAACACCGGUGGCGAAGGCGACGUCCUGGACCGGCAGUGACGCUGAGGCGCGAAAGCCAGGGGAGCAAACGGG